GCCCGGGUAGCUCAGUCGGUUGAGCGUCUGGUUUAGGCUCAGGUCAUGAUCUCACGGUUUGUGGGUUCGAGUCCCACGUCAGGCU
rnacentral:tRNA from 1 species